rnacentral:lncRNA from 1 species
CUUAAAUCAUUGCAGCUUUAUAGUAUGUUUUGAUAUUUAAGAAAAAUCCCAUGAGGCCAAUCAGAAAUCAUCACCUCUAACUGGAAGCCUUUAGGUCUGACGGACAAAUACAUUGGACUGAAGACAAUGUGUGAUGUACAUUAACAAGGAGAAAUUCCCCAGAAAAGGAUCCUGCUUAAUUUUGUUUCUUGUCCCAGUAUUUCCAGACAUUCGAGCAGAGAGAGAAAGAGAGAGAGAUAAAGAGAGAAACACUCAUCCGCAGUUCAUGGAACACAUUUCAGGAAAUACCUAGGGGCUAUUUUGAUUUUUGUCCUGAGGAGCUUGGACUCAGAAACCUGCAGGUUCUCGUCCAGCUCUGAUGUGCAGAGUUUUCUAUCGCGCUUCUGAUUCCAGCUCCAACUUCUGCACGCCGCAGUCUCCGUGUCCUUUUAAAGUCUCUCUCUAACUUUGAUCAAUCGUGACGAGACACCCUGCUGCCAGGUAUCCUUCUGGAAGGAUUUCUACAGCAUUAAUCUAAUGACAAUCUUUGCCACCCCAGGGUGUGACCAUUUCCCCACGUCCAUGUUGAACUUGUCAGAAGGAUUGUGUCUCAGAGAUUCUCAAAUAUCAAUGGCUUCUUUUGACCACCUAAGCAGUCAGGUAUAUUUUAAAUGGCUACUGUCCUUAAACCACACUGGCCCAGGGGAGUCUAACCUCUGCCCAGUGUUGAUAGGCAAAAUAUUUAACAACCAAAAUGUCCCAGUGAUGACUGAUCUUGAUGUAAGCCAACCCCAAACAACCAGACAUCCACACUGGUGCAUUCGAGCUGAAGACGAGACCUGCCUCCAUCUACUUUCCGGCCCUGGUCCACCCGGAAGGGCUUCCUUCAUUCCUCUUUUUGGAGGUUGAAUACAAUUCCUCACGUUAUGAAACCAAGAUUUUCCAGAUUCUUUGCAGUUCAUUACAAGAGAACAGGCAUUCUUCUGGAGAUUUUGUUAUCUGGAAAUUUCCUGUGGUCACAUCCUUCUCCAAAGGCCUCAUCAAAAGAGCGCAUGCUAGACUUCUCUGCUUCAGACAGCUGGAAAGCACGACAAGAGAGAGAAUGCCCAGGGCACAGAGAGAUCAAGCGGGCAGGAGGCAGGGGGCCU